rnacentral:rRNA from 1 species
AGUGAACGCUGGCGGUAGGCCUAACACAUGCAAGUCGAACGGCAGCACAGUAAGAGCUUGCUCUUACGGGUGGCGAGUGGCGGACGGGUGAGGAAUACAUCGGAAUCUACUUUUUCGUGGGGGAUAACGUAGGGAAACUUACGCUAAUACCGCAUACGACCUACGGGUGAAAGCAGGGGAUCUUCGGACCUUGCGCGAUUGAAUGAGCCGAUGUCGGAUUAGCUAGUUGGCGGGGUAAAGGCCCACCAAGGCGACGAUCCGUAGCUGGUCUGAGAGGAUGAUCAGCCACACUGGAACUGAGACACGGUCCAGACUCCUACGAGAGGCAGCAGUGGGGAAUAUUGGACAAUGGGCGCAAGCCUGAUCCAGCCAUAGCGCGUGGGUGAAGAAGGCCUUCGGGUUGUAAAGCCCUUUUGUUGGGAAAGAAAAGCAGCAGGUUAAUACCCCGCUGUUCUGACGGUACCCAAAGAAUAAGCACCGGCUAACUUCGUG